GAUCAGCCACUCGUAGUGAAUCACACAGAAUAUCAAUCCAUCUUUCAUGCAGAAAGGUUCUCCUCCAGUUCUCCUGGAAACAUGAUCACAGAGGAGGAGGCAGAUGAGGAGGAAGAGGAGGAGGAAGAUGAGCAGGAGGGCGACCGCCUUCAGUCUCACUCAGAGCUAGAGGGACGACUCUCAGCUCUGGAGGCCCAGCUACAGAGUCUGCAGCCUGGACUGGACCGGAUCAGAGUCCUGGAGAGACGCCUGGAAGACCUGGAGAGACGGAGACACACAGAUAAGAGUGAAGGUGGC